AACCCUACGGGGGGCAGCAGUGAGGAAUAUUGGUCAAUGGGCGAGAGCCUGAACCAGCCAAGUCGCGUGAGGGAAGACGGUCCUAUGGAUUGUAAACCUCUUUUGCCGGGGAGCAAAAAGCGGUACGUGUACCGCAUCGAGAGUACCCGGAGAAAAAGCAUCGGCUAACUCCGUGCCAGCAGCCGCGGUAAUACGGAGGGUGCGAGCGUUAUCCGGAUUUAUUGGGUUUAAAGGGUGCGCAGGCGGCGAGUUAAGUCAGCGGUAAAAUUUCCGGGCUCAACCCGGUCCCGCCGUUGAAACUGGCG
rnacentral:rRNA from 1 species